GCGGUCAACUCACUGAACCUAGCCACUUUACUCCCAGAACCUGACCAGGGCCUUGCAACCUGACGCGGGCCUACGUGUCAACAUCUACACUGACAAGUAUGCAUGCCUUACAACUCAUGCCCAUAGGGCCCUGUACUAGGAAUAGUGCCUACUCAACUCUGGUGAAAAAGACAUCAAGCAAUCAUCUGAAAUUUUGGCACUACUCGAAGUGGUCUGGGCUUUUGCCAAGUUAGCAUCAUCAGGAACUAUACUAUAUGUGAAUAUUGAAAUCUUAAAUAAUGAGACCCACCAGGUUUUUCAAUCUUUUUAUGAAGAGAUGGGAUAGUACCCUGUCCCAAAUCUGAAGGGUUGUUAAAGAACCCCCUAAUUGAGAAUGGGUGGAUGAGUGGAUUUGGUCCAGAAUUUGAGACUUUUUGUAUGUACUCCCACG